UACGUAGGGUGCAAGCGUUGUCCGGAAUUAUUGGGCGUAAAGAGCUCGUAGGCGGUCUGUCACGUCGGCUGUGAAAACCCGAGGCUCAACCUCGGGCCUGCAGUCGAUACGGGCAAACUAGAGUACUGCAGGGGAGACUGGAAUUCCUGGUGUAGCGGUGAAAUGCGCAGAUAUCAGGAGGAACACCGGUGGCGAAGGCGGGUCUCUGGGCAGUAAACUGACGCUGGAGGAGCGAAAGCGUGGGGAGCGAACAGG
rnacentral:rRNA from 1 species